rnacentral:rRNA from 1 species
UUCGCAAUGCCCGAAAGGGUGACGAUGCGACGCCGCGUGAGCGAAGAAGGCCCUAGGGUUGUAAAGCCCUGUCGGGGGUUAAGAAAUGCAGGUUGGCUAAUACCCAGCUUGUUUGACAAAGGCCCCAAAGGAAGCCACGGCUAACUCUGUGCCAGCAGCCGCGGUAAUACAGAGGUGGCAAGCGUUGUUCGGUAUUAUUGGGCGUAAAGAGCACGUAGGUGGUUUUGUAAGUCAGAUGUGAAAGCCUUCUGUUCAAAGGAAGAACGGCAUCUGAAACUGCAGAUCUUGAGUGUAGGAGGGGAGAGUGGAACUUCUGGUGGAGCGGUGAAAUGCGUAGAUAUCAGAAGGAACGUCGGCGGCGAAAGCGACUCUCUGGCCUAUUACUGACACUGAGUGUGCGAAAGUUAGGGGAGCAAACGGGAUUAGAUACCCCGGUAGUCCUAACUGUAAACGAUGGGCACUAAGUAGAGGGGUUUU